UACGUAGGGAGCAAGCGUUGUCCGGAAUCAUUGGGCGUAAAGCGCGCGUAGGCGGCCCUGUAAGUCCGUUGUGAAAGUCAAAGGCUCAACCUUUGAAAGCCGAUGGAUACUGCAGGGCUAGAGUCCGGGAAGAGGGCGAGUGGAAUUCCGUGGUGUAGCGGUGGAAUGCGUAGAUAUCAGGAAGAACACCCGUGGCGAAGGCGGCUCUCUGGGCAUUACCUGACGCUGAGGAGCGAAAGCGUGGGGAGCGAACAGG
rnacentral:rRNA from 1 species